GGGAAUGUGGCUUAGUGGUAGAGUGCUUGCCUAGCAUGCAUGAAGCCCUGGACACUGAUUCCUCAGCAUCCCCU
rnacentral:tRNA from 1 species